GGUGGGUAUAGCUCAGUGGUAGAGCACAUGCUUAGCAUGCAUGAGGUCCUGGGUUCAAUCCCCAGUACCUCCA
rnacentral:tRNA from 1 species